AAUUCAAUAUUACUAACUUUUAGAUUAGAAUAGAAUGCCCUUUAUUGUCAUUAUACAAAAUGUACAAUAAGACUAGACAGAGCUUCUCCUGUGUCAGUGCAAAUAGAUAAAGUAAAAAAAAAAAAAAAAAAAAAAGGUACAAAUGGUUCUAAUUGUAAAAUCCUGUAGGACAGUACAAUGAAAAUCUAUAUGUACAAAUAUAAAAAAGAAAGCAUAUAUAUAU